rnacentral:rRNA from 1 species
CACGUAGGCACCAAGCGUUGUCCGGAUUUAUUGGGCGUAAAGAGCGUGUAGGCGGCCAGGUAGGUCGGUUGUGAAAACUGGAGGCUCAACCUUCAGAGGUCGACCGAAACCAUCUGGCUAGAGUCCGGGAGAGGAGAGUGGAAUUCCUGGUGUAGCGGUGAAAUGCGCAGAUAUCAGGAAGAACACCCGUGGCGAAAGCGGCUCUCUGGAACGGUACUGACGCUGAGACGCGAAAGCGUGGGGAGCGAACAGG